rnacentral:rRNA from 1 species
UAACCUGCCCAAGAGAUCGGGAUAACACCUGGAAACAGAUGCUAAUACCGGAUAACAACAGAUGAUGCCUAUCAACUGUUUAAAAGAUGGUUCUGCUAUCACUCUUGGAUGGACCUGCGGUGCAUUAGCUAGUUGGUAGGGUAACGGCCUACAAAGGCGAUGAUGCAUAGCCGAGUUGAGAGACUGAUCGGCCACAUUGGGACUGAGACACGGCCCAAACUCCUACGGGAGGCAGCAGGC